CAAAUGCUAGGUUUUCCUAACAGAAAUAGAAACAGCCACAGUCCCUGGGAUGUUGCACAGCAGGGUUCCUGACUGAAAUUUUUCAAUGGUAGCUCCUGCUGGAAUUGGGAGAAACCCCAGGGAGCAUUUUGGGCACAGUCAGAACAAAUCAUUUCUCAUUGCUGCAUCUCCCCUUAUUCCCCCAGCAGAGUCAUUUCCGGCAGCUCUGUUCUCUUGGGGCUGGGAGGUGCUUUUCUGACUCUCUCUCCCACAGCAAACAGGAGGGUCGGUCUCAGCAUGCAGCGUGGGUAUCUCGUCCUCACUGCCUUCCUGGGGCAACUGCCGGAAAUUAUGGGGCAGGUGUCCGUCACCCAGCAAGAAGGACAAGUCACUGUGGAGCAGGGAAAUGCAUUUGAGACCACCUGCACAUACGAGACCUCCUACUUUAGGGGCUUGCUCUGGUACAAGCAGAAGAAGAGCCAAGGCCCUCAGCUGCUUUCAAAUCAAGCAAUAGCAGGCACCAAGCAGGGUGACCGUUUCACCACGGAGCUGAACAUCACGGAGAAAUCCAGUGUUCUGCAGCUGAAGGAAGUCGAGCUCUCUGACAGCGCUUUGUACCUCUGUGCUGUGAGUGACACCCUGGUGCAGGGAGCUACACUGGUUGAGCAAUAACCCUGGGAAGGGAGUGCAAGGCAGAGCUCUGGGAUGGCGUCCUCAGUCCCCUGGCUGCUCUGCUUCCCCUGUGCACCCUGAGAUCUGCCAGCCAGAUGCCCUUUCCCAAAGAGGCUGGUGCCUGUGGCUGUGCAAAGAGUGCUGACCCUGACUGGCUGACCAGGACCACAGUGCUCUGUUUUUCUUCCCUUCCUGGGCUACCUGAAUAGGGCAGAUCCUGCUGGGAACCAAGAUUCCCCUGGGGGCUUGUUCUCAGCCCCUUGAUCCCAGAUUUAGUAAAUUCCUGAAAACCCAUGAUAAAUCAACUUGCUUCAAAUCAUGGCCAGCUGAGCCCAGAGACUCCUAGAACAAGUUCUGACAGAGAUUUGCUGUGUACUUUUCUCUCUUCAAUGAGUCAGUAAAUAAAAUGUAUUUUUUUCUGAGCCAUUUCAUCAUCUCCAGACUUGCAGCCAGUUCAUGUCCAAAACCUGUGCCUGAGGGACAGAACAAAACACAUAGAAUAUCCCUGAUUGCCAAAUGCCCAAGAGAUCUCCAUGUUCAUCACAAUAAGCAAGCAAAGAAAGAUAUAAAUGAAGACUUACAACCAGAUGGGGUGGUUGUUGUCUCCUCAGGGGUGCCAGGGGUAUGUGAUCAUCUGCAGCUCCUGCACAGAGAGCAGUUUUGUAGUGACCAGCUCCCACAGCAGUGGGGGAUUGUACGUCUGGGAGAACCUAGGUGUCCUGCAUGCAGCAAAUGCUGAGACAAAGCAGGAGAAAUGAGGAUAUGCUGAUAAAGGUUCCUCCAUCUCACAAACCAUGCUGAAUGUGGUGUUUUGAUGUCCUCAGACUCAAGGAAGCUCUUCUGUC